rnacentral:rRNA from 1 species
UACGGAGUGUGCAAGCGUUACUCGGAAUCACUGGGCAUAAAGCGCGCGUAGGCGGGCUUUCAAGUCGGUUGUGAAAUCCCUCAGCUCAACUGAGGAACUGCAUCCGAUACUGUUUGUCUUGAGGACGAGAGGGGAGAGUGGAACUUCUGGUGGAGCGGUGAAAUGCGUAGAGAUCGGGAAGAAGGCCGGUGGCGAAGGCGGCUCUCUGGAACGUUCCUGACACUGAGGCACGAAAGCGUGGGGAGCAAACAGG